CACGCUGUAAACGAUGAUUACUGGGUGUAGGGAGUAUCGACUCUCUCUGUGCCGAAGCAAACGCGAUAAGUAAUCCACCUGGGGAGUACGGCCGCAAGGCUAAAACUCAAAGGAAUUGACGGGGGCCCGCACAAGCAGUGGAGUAUGUGGUUUAAUUCGAGGCAACGCGAAGAACCUUACCAGGGAUUGACAUCCUGCGCUAGACUUGGAGACAGGUUGUUCCUUCGGGACGCAGAGACAGGUGG
rnacentral:rRNA from 1 species